rnacentral:misc_RNA from 1 species
GGAAGUAAAGUCGUAACAAGGUCUCCGUUGGUGAACCAGCGGAGGGAUCAUUACCGAGUUUACAACUCCCAAACCCAAUGUGAACCAUACCAAACUGUUGCCUCGGCGGGGUCACGCCCCGGGUGCGUCGCAGCCCCGGAACCAGGCGCCCGCCGGAGGGACCAACCAAACUCUUUCUGUAGUCCCCUCGCGGACGUUAUUUUUACAGCUCUGAGCAAAAAUUCAAAAUGAAUCAAAACUUUCAACAACGGAUCUCUUGGUUCUG